GGGGGAAUAUUGGACAAUGGGCGAAAGCCUGAUCCAGCCAUGCCGCGUGUGUGAAGAAGGUCUUCGGAUUGUAAAGCACUUUAAGUUGGGAGGAAGGGCAGUAAGCGAAUACCUUGCUGUUUUGACGUUACCGACAGAAUAAGCACCGGCUAACUCUGUGCCAGCAGCCGCGGGAAUACAGAGGGUGCAAGCGUUAAUCGGAAUUACUGGGCGUAAAGCGCGCGUAGGUGGUUCGUUAAGUUGAAUGUGAAAGCCCCGGGCUAAACCUGGGAACUGCAUCCAAAACUGGCGAGCUUGAGUAGGACAGAGGGGGGUGGAAUUUCCUGUGUAGCAGUGAAAAGCGUAGGUAUAGGAAGGAACACCAGUGGCGAAGGCGACCACCUGGGCUCAUACUGACACUGAGGUGCGAAAGCGUGGGGAGCAAACAGG
rnacentral:rRNA from 1 species